rnacentral:misc_RNA from 1 species
AAAAAAAUUAUAUAAGUUAAAUUUUAUUUGUAAAGCCAUUGACAACGAUUUUACAUACUGAUGCCGUCGAAUAUUAAUGAAACAACGGCGAAUUUUAGUAGUGCUGUGUAUAAUAAGAAACAAAUUGUAAACUUCACACUGUACGUAUAUAAUGUUUUAGUCUAUAACGGAUGCUGCAAUUUCUUAUAAGUACUGUUUUCUCUUUAAUCAUAUUAGGUUGAUUUUAAGGAGAUAAAUUUGAUUUUAGAAAUCCUCUAUGACAGCUGUUCAUUUUUUUGCAACUGUUUACUUCUGGAUUCUAAGCUCUAAAAUCCAGCCGUUAAAUUAUGUUCGCUUUCAAAUAGUAUAAUUAACGAUUUUUCACUUAAUGUAUUAUAUCCACCCCUCCCCCCCCCCCCCCCCCGGUUAUGAGGUUGGAGUUUUUUGUUGCAUUUCGCAAAGUUGAUUAUAUAUACUUGUUAUAAGGGGGUUGGAAAAAAAAUAUACUAUCUUUUACACAAAAAGAGUACCUACGAACCCCGUUUCCCGUAGAGAGAGAGAGAGAGAGAGAGAGAGAGAGAGAGAGAGAGAGAGAGAGAGAGAGAGAUUCCAUGGUAUACUUUGAUUUUUGAUUUUAUGAGUUAUUAUUUCAAAUUAUAUUAUACUUUAUUUGCUUGUUACAUUGAUAUGCUUUUAUUGAGAUUUAAAAGGAUGAAUGAGAAUGUUGCACUUAUAAUUACGCGUAUAACAUCAACUUGUUAUUUUGCGAAAUAAAUUAGAUAGAAAGAAAC